rnacentral:misc_RNA from 1 species
GCAAACUUGGUCAUUUAGAGGAAGUAAAAGUCGUAACAAGGUUUCCGUAGGUGAACCUGCGGAAGGAUCAUUAUCAGAAACAGGUGCCGGGACGCCUGUGUUUCGGCACAGGCCUCCCGUGCUCCGCCCACCCGUGUUUUCCUGACCUACUGUUGCUUUGGCGGGCCAGCCAGAGCUUCUAUGCGCUGGCGGCCUUUUGGGGGGGUUUGGUGUGUGUUUUAAUUAAUGUUCACCUGCACCCUGGGGCUCGAGCCCGCCAGAGGCCCUUUUAGAACCCUGUGUGAAAUAGUGCUGUCUGAGUGGAUUUAUAAUCAGUUAAAACUUUCAACAAAGGAUCUCUUGGUUCCGGCAUCGAUGAAGAACGCAGC